rnacentral:rRNA from 1 species
UACGUAGGGGGCGAGCGUUGUCCGGAGUUACUGGGCGUAAAGCGCACGCAGGCGGUCUGCUAAGUUUGGAGUGACAGUUGGUGGCUUAACUGCCAAAGUGCUUCGAAAACUGACAGACUUGAGGGCUUCAGAGGGACACGGAAUUCCGGGUGGAGUGGUGAAAUGCGUAGAGAUCCGGAGGAACACCAAAGGCGAAGGCAGUGUCCUGGGAGUACCUGACGCUCAGGUGCGAAAGCCAGGGGAGCAAACGGG